GUUUGGCGGGACUGUCAAGUCAACGCCAGUUUGGCGCGUACAAGCUGGAUGAACAAGAUGGCGUCCGUUGGAAUAUAUAAGUUGCUAUGGACAAUAAGGAUCAAGAUCAAUUUUACACCUUGUAUUAACUGGGUCUCCAUGGCUGCAUUAUUAAAGAUGCAUCAUAACGGUAGUCAUAUGAGAAGAAUACUUUCAAGAGGAGACUAAUUUAUGAAAAGAACAUCAUCACCUUAAUAUACCAUCUUAAAAUGGUUUGAAGUUUUACAUUUUUAAAUCACAUCUGAAGGUG
rnacentral:lncRNA from 1 species